CUGGGAUGGACACAGAAAUCAGUAUGCAUAUAUACAUGCAUACACACACGUAUAUGUAUAUACACUCUAAAUGAUUCCAAAGUUCAGUCAAGCCUGAGAACCACUGAUCUGCAUUUUGGGGAUAAUAUUGAAUGUAAAGUUUCACUUGUUUGGGCUUGCUUUUGUGGACUUCUAGAAUUGUUUUUGUUUUGCUUUCGUUUUAGAGUUGUCAUUGCAAUGAAUGAAGACUCUCUCACACGGGAAGCAGAAGGAAAAGUGUUAAAAGUUUCAUUUUUCUUCUCUCUGUAAGGCAGAGCAUACCUAAAGACAGACUGUAACACUGCCACACGUCAAAGAGAGACUCAGAGAUAGAUUCACUUAGAAAAGGAGUUUACUUGCAAAAAGUGCAAGGGAGUUACACUGAAGGACCAGUUUGCCAAAUACCAGUACUUAAGGGGGAAAAAAAAUCCCCUAAAAUUACCAGGAUUACCAGUUGACAGCUGAUUGUUCAUGGUGGAAAAACAGCCGUAAUGACUUCAGCAAAUAAAGCUGUUGAAUUACAAGUGAAACAAUGCAGAAGAAUUACAAGACUAUGAGGGAUUUGGAAAACUGGGAAAAAGACAUUAAACGAAAGGAUAUGGAACUAAGAGGACAUAAUGGUGUUCCUGAAGAGAAUUUACCUCCUAUUCGAAAUGGCAAUUUUAGGAAAAAGAAGAAAGCCAAAGCUAAAGAGUCUUCCAAAAAAAACCAAAGAGGAAAACACAAAAAAUAGAAUAAAAUCUUGUGAAUUAUGAGGCAUGGGCAAAACUUGAUGUGGACUGUAUCCUUGAUGAGCUUGACAAAGAUGAUAGUACCCAUGAUUCUCUGUCUCAAGAAUCAGAGUUGGAAGAAGAUGGGAUUCAUGUAGAUUCUCAAAAGGCUCUUGUUUUAAAAGAAAAGGGCAAUAAAUACUUCAAACAAGGAAAAUAUGAUGAAGCAAUUGACUGCUACACAAAAAGCAUGGAUGCCAAUCCGUAUAAUCCCAUGUUGCCAACAAAUAGAGUGUCAGCAUAUUUUAGAUUGAAAAAGUAAGGACUUUCUGUAAUGUGCGUGAAUGUGAAUGUCUUAUAUAUAUAUUGAGACUAAUUUUAAAAAACGUUUGUAAUGAAGUGUGGAGGACAGAUUGAAAAUGUAUUGCAUUUCUUUUCAGCUGUAAAUUUUUAUAGCUCACUCCUUUUUAUUGAGUUAUUUUGUUUAAGCCAUUUUAAACAUCUGGUGCUAAAAACUAUGUUUCCAUAGCUCACUUUACUGAGAUGUUCCUCUAAAAAUUCAAUAAAAAUGUUCUUUUCUAAUUCACAAAGCUAAAAAAGUUUGUUGGAUGUUUUUAGAAAUUAAUAUCCUUCAUUGUUUUGAAAAACCAUUUACCCACUUUUUAAUCUAGAGAACAUUUAUGAUGGUAAACUUAAAAUAUGUUUCAACAUCUGUCUUUAAGUCAUACUGACUUUUAAAAUAAAUACUUAAUGUGGAAGAAUAUAAAAGGUAUUGUCUUAUCAUAUGCAGGUAACCAGCCUAUCAUAGGGGUUUUUUGAAAAGGUAAAUAACAUCAAGGAAGACAUUCUUACUGUUUUAAUUAUUUGGAAAUACAAAUUUUAUUGUUAUCUGAGUUUUUACUAUUUAAAUAGCAUAUUUUUAUGUCUUUGAAACUCAUAUUAAUAUUCUAAAAAAUUAGGGGAUCUUUACAUUUUAUAAUAUUUGAUAAUCUGCAGUAUUUGUAUCUCAUGUAUAAGUUAUAGAGAAUAAUUAAAAAGCCUAUAUAAGGGCCCCUCUCAAUUUAAAAACCAGAAGAUUACCAUUAUUUUUGAAAUUACCUUGAUGCUUUUUUCUGUAUUCUGUUCCUUGCCUCCCUCUCAGUUAACCACUACCAUGAAUUACAUAUUUAUCGUUCUUUUGGUUUUUAAAAAGGUUUAUUAUAUAUGUAUAUGUCUCUAAAUAAUAUAUUGUAUAACCUUGCUUAUUUUUGAGCUUUAAACAUAUGUAGUUGUCUGUGGCUCACCUAUUUCUCUGAAUAUUACAUUUUUAUGAUUCAUUCUAGUUUUGAUGCGUAUAGCUCUAGAGCUCUCAUUGUAACAGUUAUAUAAGAUAAUUUCUUUUUAAAAAUAUACCAUUUAUUUUUUAUUUUUCUGAACGCAGUCUCACUGUCUCACCAGGCUAGAGUGCAGUGGCGCAGUCUUGGCUCACUGCAGCCUCUGCCUCCCAGGUUCAAGUGAUUCUCCUGCUUCAGCCUCCCAAGUAGCUGGGUCUAUAGGCACUCACCACCACACCCAGCUAAUUUUUGUAUUUUUAGUAGAGACGAGGUUUCACUGUGUUGGCCAGGAUGGUCUCCAUUUCUUGACCUUGUGAUCCGCCCACCUCAACCUCCCAAAGUGCUGGGAUUACAGAUGUGAACCACUGAGCCCGGCCAUUAUCUGUCUAUUCUUGUGUUGCUAGAUUGUUGGUUGGUUCCUGUCUUCCUUUCUUUUUCUUCUCUCUCUCCCUCCCACUCUUUCUUCCCUCCUUCUGUCCCUCUUUCUACUGCCCACUUUCUGUCAUUUCCUUCCUUAUUUCAGUGAUGCUAAGAACAUUUUUGUUCAUAUUUUUUGGUGUUGAGUCAUAAAAUGUAUAUAUGUUCAGCUUCACAGGAUGAUGAUAAAGGUGGUUUGUUGUUACACAGUUGUUCCAAAGGUAGAUGGAUGAAUUACAUUCACAUUAGACGUGUAUAAUAAUGCUUAUUUCCUACCCUUACCAACACUGAUAUAAUUGGGCUUCUUAAUUGUUUUCAAUCUAGUAGGUAUAAAAUGGCAUUUCAUUGUACCUACGAAGAGUUCUUUAUUCUGGAUACUAAUUCUUUGAUCUUUUUCAUGAUAACUAUCUUCUUUCAAUUUGUAGCUUAUCAUUUUUUUUCUUUAUGAAAUUUUAAUUAAACAUUUACUUUUAAUAUAUUUCAGUUUAUUAAUUUUUAAAAAAGAUUAGGACUUUAUAAAGUGGUUUGUUAAAAAAAUAGUUUGCUGCUUGGAUUCAUAAUAGUCUCCUCUGAUUUCUUCUAAACAUUUUUAAAAUUUAAUUUUCACAUUUAGGCCUUUUCACAUAUGCCAAAGGUUUUUCCAGCUCUUAUUUUUGGAAUAGCACUACUUUCCCCCAUGGAUCUGCCAUGCUACUGUUGUCAUAUGUCAUGUUUGCCUAGAUCACUUUCUCAUCUUUUGUUCUUUACACUGGUCUCUUGCCUGUCCUUACAUCCAUUCCACAAUCCAUCCAAGCAUUGUAACUGUAAGUCUUGAUAUUUGGUGUAGGGCAUAUUCUCCUGUUAUUUAUUAUUCAGCAAUGUCUUGGGUAUUCUUGGACUUACUCAUCAAUAUAAAUUUUAGAAUCAUCUUCCCAAAUUCCUUAACACAUCCUGUUGAGAUUUUGAUUAGAAUUGCAUUAGAUUUAUAAAUCAGUCUGGAGAGAGUAAUAUUAUUACAUUUUUGUGCUUUGUUAUAGAUGAAUGUGAAAUAUUUCCACUUACAUUGUCAAUGUCUUUGAAAAUAGUCUUACAAUUUUUUUUGCAUCUGUGUCUCGUACAUCUUUGUUAGAUGUUUUGUUUGUUUCUUGUUGAUCUGUCAUAGUCACCUUACUAAACUUUUAUAUUUUAAUAUUUCUAGCAGUGUCUUUAGAUUAUUUUUGAGUUUUCUUUUUAGACCAUCAUAUCAUCUGAGAAUAAUGUCAGGUUUUUUUCUUUGUUUCUAGUCCUUGUAUUUCUUUCUUACAGAACUACAUUGGUGGAGACCUCUAUGUAAUACCAAGAAAAAGCAGUGAUAAUGGGCAUUCUUGUUUCUUGCAUUAAAGGGAAUGCUACUAAUGUUCCACCAUUAGGAAUUAUAGGCAUACCUUGUGUUAUUGUGUGUCGCUUUAUUGCAUCCACAGAUACUGUUUUUACAAAAUGAAGGUUUGUGGCAACCCUGUAUCAGGCAAGUCAGGCAACUCUGUGGGUGCCAUUUUUCCAACAGCAUGUGUUUACUUUGUAUCUCUGUGUCACAUUUUAGUAAUUGUUGCAGUAUUUCAGACUUUUUUUGUUGUUAUUAUAUCUGUUAUGGUGAUCUCUGAUCAGGGAUCUUUGAUAUUUCUAUUGUAAUUGUUUUGGGGAGCCAUCAAGCAUGCCCAUAUAUUACGGCAAGCUAAAUGAAUAGAUGUGCAUUCUGUCUGCUUCACUGACCAACUGCCCCCCCAUCUCUGUCCCUCUCCUUGGGCCUCCCUAUUCCCUGAGAUACAACAGUAUUGAAAUUAGGCCAGUUAAUAACCUACAGUGAGGCCGGUCAUGGUGGCUCAUAUCUGUAAUCCCAGCACUUUGGGAUGUCGAGAUGGGUGGCUCACUUGGGGCCAGGAGUUUGAGACCAGCCUGGCCCAACAUGGUGAAAUCCUGUCUCUACUAAAACAGAAUUAGCCGAGCAUGGUGGUGCAUGCCUAUAAUCUCAGAUACUUUGGAGGCUGAGGCAUGAGAAUGCUUGAGCCCAGGAGGCAGAGAUUGCAGUGAGCCAAGAUCAUGCCACUGCACUCCAGCCUUGUGACAGAGUGAAACUCCGUCUCAAAACAAACAAACAAACAAACAAAAAAUGCCUACAGUGGCAUUUAAGUGUUCAAGUGAAAGAAAGGAAGACUCGCACAUCUCUCACUUUAAAUUGGAGGCUAGAAAUGAUUAAACUUGGUGAGGAAGGCAUGUUGAAAGCCAAGACUGACUGAAAGUUAAGCUUCUUGUGCCAGUUAGCCAAGUUGUGAAUACAAAGGAAAAGUUCCUGAAGGAAAUUAAAAGGGCUACUCCAUUGAACACAAGUAAUUAAAAAGUGAAAGAAGCCUAAUGUUGAUAGGGAGAAAGUUUUAUUGGUCUGUAUAAAUUAAACCAGCCACAACAGGUGAAGCAGCAAGUGCUGAUGGAGAAUCUGUAGAAAGUUAUCCAGACGAUCUAGCUAAGGUAAUUGAUGAAGUUGACUAUAUUAAACAACACAUUUUCAGUGUUGACUAAACAGCUUUCUGUUAGAAGAUAGUGCCAUCUAGGACUUUCACAGCUAGAGAGAAAUCAAUGCCUGGCUUCAAAGGACAGUCUGAUUCUCUUGUUAGGGGCUAAUGUAGCUGGUGGCUUUAAGUUGAAGACUGUGCUCAUUUACCAUUGCAAAAGUCCUAGGACCCUUAGGAAUUAUGCUAAAUCUACUCUGCCUGUGCUCUAUAAAUAAAACAAAGUCUGGAUGACAGUACAUCUAUUAUAAUCUGGUUUACUGAAUAUUUUAGGCCUAAUGUUGAGACCUACAGCUUGGAAAAAAGAUUUAUUUCAAAAUAAUACUGUUUAUUGACAAUGUACCUACUCACCCAAGAUCUCUGCUGAAGAUGUACAAGGAAAUGAAUGUUGUUUUCAUGCUUCCUAACACAACAUCCAUCUGCAGCCCAUGAUCAAAGAGUCAUUUCAACUUUGAAGUCUCAUUAUUUAAGAAAUAUGUUUCAGCAGUUCAGUGGUCCCUCUGAUCUAUCUCUUGCUUCAACAGUGUUUGGAUGGAACAGAUCCCCCCCGCCCCAAAAAAAAAUUAAAAAGAAAGAAAUACGUUUCAUAGGCUAUAGCUGUCAUAGAUUGUGAUUCCUCUAGUGGAUCUGGACAAAGUAGAUUGAAACCUGGAAAGGGUUAACUAAUUUUAGAUGCCAUUAAGAACAUCUGUAAUUCACGGAGGAGGUCAAAAUAUCAGUGUUAAUGGGAGUUUGGAAGAAGUUGAUUUCUACUCUUACGGAUUACUUUGAGGUGUUCAAGAUUUUAGUGGAGGAAGAUAUGACUGAAUUGCUGCAAUCUUGUGUUCAAACUUGAAUGGAUGAUCAGUUGCUUCCUAUGCAUGAGCAAGGAAAGUGGUUUCUUGAGAUAGAAUCUACUGGUGAAGGUGCUGUGAACAUUUUUGAAAUGACAACAGAAGAUUUAGAACAUUAUACAAACUUACUUGAAAAAGCAGUGGCAGAGUUUGAGAGGAUUGACUCCAAUAUUGAAAGAAGUUCUAUUAUGAGUAAAAUGCUAUCAAACAGCAUCACAUGCUACCACUACCACCCUGAUCAAUCAGCAGCCAUCAACAUCAAGGCAAGAUACUUCACCACCAAAACAUAUAUAUUCACUGAAGGCUCAGAUAAUCAUUAACAUUUUUUAACAAAGUAUUUUUAAAUUAAGGUAUAUACAUUGUUACUUAUCCAUAAGGCUUUUGCACACUUACUAGAUUACAGUAUAAUAUAAAUAUAACUUUUGUAUGCACUGGAAAAACAGAAAAUUUGUAUGACUAGCUUUAUUGUGACAUUUACUUUGUUGUGGUGGUCUAAAAUCAAAUCCACAAUAUUGUUGAGAAAUGCCAGUAUUGCUUUUAUUAUGCUUAAUUAAAAGGAAGUGGGAAACAUGCCUUCAGUGGGUAAGUAAAUUCCCUUUGCAAGGAUUUCAGAAACAAAACUUUGAAGUUUUGGUUUAGUAAAUGAGUUUUAUUCACUUCAUUUAUUUUGAUGUUUUAAAAUUGCAGAUUUGCUGUUGCUGAGUCUGAUUGUAAUUUAGCAAUUGCCAUGAAUAAAAGUUAUACAAAAGCUUAUUCCAGAUGAGGUGCUGCUUGAUUUGCUUUGCAAAAAUUAGAAGAGGCCAAAAAAGGUUGGAGUGUGAUGGCAUGCUCUCAGCUCACUGCAACCUCUGCCUCCAGGGUUUAAGCAAUUCUCCCUGCCUCAGCCUUCUGAAAUGUGCCUGCCACCAUGCCCAGCUAAUUUUUAUAUUUUUAGUAGACACAGGGUUUCACCAUGUUGGCCAGGCUGGUCUUGAACUACUGACCUCAGAUAAUCUGCCUGCCUCGGCCUCCUCACUCCUUUGGGGUGCACUUCAUCCCCAAGGCCCAAUUUUACACUUCAAUGGCUUAACAAGGGCUUUACUGGAUUGAAGUCAACAUUAAAAGACUUUAGAUUCCAUCAGCACAGUCUUCGGCCCCUUGUGUCUAAUGAGAAUUUGCCCAGUUAAAAUUUUAACAUUGGGUCUAAGCUGAGAGAUCUUGAUUUUCAGCCUGAAACUCUUCAAAAGGCUUGAUUAACUAAGGAGUUCCUGCUACAAAGUAAAAGUCAAGAACCCUCUUCAGCAAAGGUGAGCUGGCCUCAGUGGUAAAUGGGAAAUGAGCUGGUUUUGAUAAAUUUUUUAUAACAUACAUGUAUUGUGUUUUUAGGAGGGCAGGGGGUUAUUCAAGGUUCUGAGUAACAUGUUACCACAGGUAGAAGGAGGUGCUGCUCAGCCCUGGAGACAGACACACACACACACAGUCUAGAUACAACUGGUAGUGUCCAGCCAAAUACUUGGUGGUAUGAGGAGGGCUGUGAACACAUCCAUGCUCCAAAGGAAGAGACACCUUUCCCUAAUUCACAUGUCCAUUCUUCCUUCUCCCCCAACCUUGCCUCCUCCUCAAGCCCAUGCAUUAUUACAUAGAACACAAUUAGGCAGGGAUAUCAGGUUAAAGCAUUGUCAAUGAUGCUUUCAUUAAAAACAGCACAGUCAAACAGAGCAUUCUUGCAUAUGAAAUGAGAUUUUUUUUUUUUGGAAGGGAGGAAGGGAGGAAAGGAGAAAGGGAGGGAGGGAGGAAGGGGGGAGGGAGGGAAAGAAGGGAAGGAAGGAAAUCAGGCAAUGAGAGAGACAUUGCUGACCUGGAUCUAGAGGUCUACAAGUUGAUUUUUUCUUUUUUUGAGAGAAGGAAAGAAAAAAAGAAGGAGAGUAAGAAAGAGGAAGCAAAAGUGGGAGAGAGAAUGGAAAUGUUGCUUUAUUCUAAAAAAAAUGGGUAUUAAUGACCAAUCAAUAUUUCAUUUAAACCUAUGAGUAGGUGUGAUGUGGUAUUGACAAGAAUGUAUAUUUUGUGUAUUUAAAGUGGAGAGCUCUAUAAAUAUGUAUUAAGUUUACUUCUUCUGGAUCUGAGUUUGAGUCCUUGAUAUCCUUAUUAAUUUUCUGUCUCAUUGAGUCUAAGUCUCUAUGUAUCUGGGUGUUAGAAUCAUUAGCUCUUGUUGUUGCAUUGAUCCUUUUACCACUAUAUCUUUGUUGCUUUAAAAUCUAUUUUAUCAGAUAUGAGAAUUGCAAUUCCUGCUAUUUAUUUAUUUAUUUAUUUAUUUAUUUAUUUUUGCUCUCCAUUUGAUUGGUAAAUCUUUCUCCAUCCCUUUGUUUUGAGUCUUUGUGUAUCCUUGCAUGUGAAAUGGGUCUGGAUGUUGCAUACAGUUGGGUUUUGGCUGUAUCUUUUGAUUGGGGGAUUUAGUCAAUUGAAAUUUAGGUUUACUACCAUUUGAUGUUAACUGGCUGUUUUAUCCAUUUGUUGAUGUAAAUUCUUCUUUAUGUUGAUGCUCUUUACUUUUUGGUAUAUUUUUAGAAAGGCUAAUACUGGUUGUUUCUUUCUAUGUGUAAUGCUUCUUUCAGAAGCUCUUGUAAAGCAGGCCUGGUGGUAAUAAAAUUACUGAGUACUUGCUUAUUUAUAAAAGAUUUUAUUUUUCCUUCAGUUGUGAAGCUUAGUUUGGCUGGAUAUGAAAUUCUGGACUGAAAGUUCUGUUCUUUGAGGAUGUUGAAUAUUGGCCCCCACUCUCUUCUGGCUUGUAGAGUUUCUGCUGAGAGAUCUGCUGUAAGUCUGAUAGGUUUACCUUUGUGGGUAACCUGACCUUUCUCUCUGGCUGCCCUUAGUAUUUUCUCCUUUGUUUCAACCCUGGCGAAUCUAAUGAUUAUGUGCCUUGGGGUUGCUCUUCUUGAGGAAUAUCUUUGUGGUGUUCUCUGUAUUACCUGGGGUUGAAUAUUAUCCUGCUUUGCUAGUUUAGGAAAAUUUUCCUGAAUAAUAUCCUGAAGAAUAUUUUCCAGCUUGGAUUCAUUCUCUUCGUCACAUUCAGGUACACCUAUCAAACUUAAAUUUGGUCUUUUCACAUAGUCCCACGUUUCUUGGAGACUUUGCUCAUUCCUUUUUAUCCUUUUUUCUCUAAUCUUGUCUUCUCGUUUUAUUUCAUUAAGUUGGACUUCGACCUCUGAUAACCUUUCUUCUGCUUGAAGAAUUCGAUGGCACGAUAAAAACCCUAGAAGGAAAUCUAGGCAAAACUAUCCAGGACAUAGGAGUAGGCAAGGACUUCAUGAACAAAACACCAAAAGCAUUGGCAAUAAAAGCCAAAAUAGACAAAUGGGACCUAAUGAAACUCCACAGCUUCUGCACAGCAAAAGAAACAGUCACUAGAGUGAAUUGGCAACCAACAGAAUGGGAAAAAAAUUUUGCAGUUUACCCAUCUGACAAAGGGCUGAUAUCCAGAAUUUACAAAGAACUCAAACAGAUUUACAGGAAAAAACAAGGCCAUUCAAAAGUGGGCAAAGGAUAUGAACAGACACUUUACAAAAGAAGACAUAUAUGAGGCCAACAAUCAUAUGAAAAAAUGCUCAUCGUCACUGGUCAUCAGAGAGAUGCAAAUCAAAACCACACUGAGAUACCAUCUCAUGCCAGUUAGAAUGGCGAUCAUUAAAAAAUCUGGAGACAACAGAUGCUGGAGAGGAUGUGGAGAAAAAGGAACAUUUUUACACUGUUGGUGGGAGUGUAAAUUAGUUCAACCAUUGUGGAAGACGGUGUGGCGAUUCCUCAAGGCCUUAGAAAUAGAAAUUCCAUUUGACCCAGCAAUCCCAUUACUGGGUAUAUAUCCAAAAGACUAUAAAUCGUUCUACUAUAAGGACACAUGUACACGAAUGUUCAUUGCAGCACUGUUUACAAUAGCAAAGACCUGGAAUCAACCCAAAUGCCCAUUGAUAAUAGACUGGAUUGGAAAAAUGUGGCACAUAUACACCAUGGAAUAUUAUGCAGCAAUUAGAAAUGAUGAGUUUGUGUCAUUUGUAGCGACAUGGAUGAAUCUGGAGAACAUCAUCCUCAACAAACUGACACAAGAACAGAAAAUGAAACACCGCAUAUUCUCACUCAUAGGUGGGUGAUGAAAAAUGAGAACACAUGGACACAGAAAGGGGAGUACUAAACACUGGGGUCUA